CGCGAGGGAGGCGCGCGCGAGCCCAGCGAAGGUUCCCACCGGAGGGGCUGGGGAGGAGACCUCGGCGAGGAGGAGUAGGGUCUCUCCCCCGCCCCCCACCUCCUCUCCCCUCCGUCCUCCUUCGCGCCCUUUCCUUGGGCUCUUCCUCCCCUGGCUCGGGUGGGGGUUGCCAGGCUCGGCGGCAGCCGCGGCUUGGGCGCGCUGGGAGAGUGCGGAGGCCAGGAGGCGGCCGCGCCAGCUCCCCGCGCCGCUGGCCUGAGGCACCUGUGCGCGCUCACACCGCCGCUUGCUCUGUUGCGGCGGCUUCCCGGCUGAGAUCUGCCGGCGGUCGCCUUCCCUGUCUCUGCUUUCUGGUCAGAUUAUGAUCAUGCAUAUUCAUCCAUGACAUCUGUGUAGUCCCCCUAUUGCUGUCUGCUUCCCCGGGAGCUCUUUGGCACGGAGCGUCGGGCCAGAAGGCGUCGGCGGGGAGCUCGAUGCAGGCGACCAUCGCCAGCUCCUUGGAGCAGUUGCCUGGCAGGGGUGGCGGUGUUUGUUUGCCUCUUGGUUGACCAGCUAAUGAGUAACAGAAACCUCCAAGUUUAAGUUCAGCUAUCUCUAUCCAGCCACAGACUGUAUUUCCUGGCCUUCCUCAGAGCCAGCUUUAGCUGUGUGACUACAUUCUGGCUCACGGAAUGUGAAGAAACCUAUACAUGAAUGUUUAUAGAAGCUUGAUUCAUAAUUGCCAAAGAACUGGAAACAACCCAAAUGGUCUCCAACAGAGGACUGGAAGAGAGAAGAUAAGGAAAAGCCGUCAUUCUCUGUCAUCAGGAGGAGGAAGACACAUGGGGGUCCUCACUGAAACUCUACACAACUCCCAGCAACUUCUAGCAGUCAAGACGCCAGUGCAAGUGAGGGGCCCUGGCACAGCAAGUUCAUCAAGAUCAAGUUCCAUCUGUUGAAACAUCGUGCAAAUUCAGACUAUGACUCCAGAGCCAGUUGCCUUACCUGACAAGUACUGAACCUGGAAGCGAUAUUGUUCAUGUGAUCUACAAUCAGGCAUUCAAAAGGAUUAAGGAAAGGGGGCGACAGCUGAGACUAGAAGUCGUCUUAAAAAGCUUAAAUCACUGCCAGAAUGUGCUUCUUAAAUGAAUUUCUGGUGCAGCUAUUCUCCAGCUCUGGAAAAUGUUCUCCACUUUGGAAAAGCCUCAUGAUACUUUGGAAACCUAUGCCGAGUAAAAGUCUUAUAAGCUUCAAGACUGAUGCGGCCACUGAUUCCUUGGAGAAAUGCUGAUUCCAAAAAUGUGGCUGGGAAAGUACAAGAUAAGCCUGGGACAUCUUGCCUGAAAUCAGAAGGACUCAAAAAAUGUAGAGACAUGUUCUUAAGACACAGGAGCCAGCUUGAGGGGGCAACAACUGACUAAAUCUGGAAUAAUUUGUCAUCAAAAUAACAAAUAAGAAUAAAUGACAGACAUUAAAAUAAAAAUUCAUAAAUCUAUAUUGAUUUUUUUAAUGUAAAAAUAAAUGGAAUAAAGAAAACUCAGAAUGCCAACUAAUAAGUGUAGAUGGAAUGAUGGAAUUAGAUGAUCACAAUUUUGUUACCAUCACAGUAACUAUAUCAAGCAAGAAUCAUUAAUGGAUAUUAAAUUAGGGAUUAAAAGUUUAUGAGAAACAGGAUAUCUACAUAUUGACAAAGUAUCUUGCCAAAAGAUAACCAAUUAACUACAAAGGGAGACAACAGUGCAGAACCUAACAGACAUCACCUUUAACAAGUAACCAAAAUUACUUUGUCCGUUAAUUUUGAGUAAGUAGAUAUCAUGUGUCUACAGAGAGGAUGCCCUAAGAAGAAAACAGAAUCACUGCUAUGGCAUUUCUGUCAAAAUUAAUCUGGAUCUCAUCAUGAGGAAACAUCAGACAAUAUAUUAAGAUACAUAUAUACGUACAUAUGUACACAUAUUACAAUAUGUAUGUAAAAUCAUACACAAUGUAACAUAUAAGAGAGUGUGUGUGUGUAAUGAUAAAGCAAAUGUGGCAAAAUAUUACCAUUUCGUGAAUCUGUAGGAAAAAUAUACAGGGAGUUGUUAAGUUGUAUUAUUUUUGAAACUUUUAAGUCUUAAAUUAUUUGAAAAUUGAAAGAAAAAAUUAAAAAAAGACUAUCACCAGCAAACUGGAAGAUAUGAACUGUCUUCUGAGAAGUUUAUUCCCAGGAAGAGCCAACUCAUACAGUCCUUUAAACUCUGCACUGCAGGGCUCCAGGGACUGAUAUUCCUGUGUAUGGAAUGUGACAGUCCUGUGCACAGGAGUAAAGGGAUGAUAUAACCAUUUCAGCCUGCCUCUAUGAUUUAUUGUCCCAAAAUUUUCAAGUUGUCAAGAUAAAAAUAAAUCCUUCCCUUUCCCUAAAGAAAGUGAGAAUUUUGACAAGCCAUGAAGUAGGGGGAAAAAAAAAAACCUAUGGACGUAAUAUGAUCUCAACUAUAUUAAAGAUAUAUACAGAAGAAGAAAGAGUACUGAAACAUGUAUGAUUUCCUCUGGGCAAUCAUUUACUUAGUGAUAUUUUCUUAUGCUGCCUUCUAAAAUUAGAACAGAGUAUUUCACAAGGAAGAAAAGUUUGUUUGGGGUAGGUAUUUUAUAAUCAAUGGUACUGAAUAUUGACAAAUCACAGAGAAUGGAAUAAACAACUACUGGAUUUAGAAAUUUGUAAGACACUGAUUUUUGUAAUGUUGAUCAGCUGAAUGGCGUGAAAUGCAUGGAGGAGUCGGGAUAUAUAAUAGGAAAAAUACUGAUCUUGGAAUUGGAAGAUCUAAGUUCAAAUCAGCUAUUCUGACCUACUUGUGUGACAUCAUCUUAAAAAAAUUAAUUCUUCUAUUUUUGGACAAAGUUGAUCUGUAAAUCAUGCAAGAUACGUAUACGAAAUAAAAUGUA